AUGGAGGAGACGCUUGCUUUCUGGUGCAGCUCGAGGGAAAGGUCUUCUAUGGAUGUCUGGGUGAUGCAGGAUUACAAGGCUGAAAUCUGGGCUUUCAAGUACCGGAUUGACCUGUCAAUGGUAGAGGCAUCAAGACAACUUUAUUUAACUUCUUUCAAAAAGAAAAGGAGACUAUCACUUGAUUCAACACUGCAGUAUUUGAACAAUAUGGUUGUGCUAAACGAGCGUGAGUUGCUGAUCACGUUUAAUAAGAAAAAUGUGUUGCGCUGGGAUAUUGAUGGCAAGUUCUUAGGUAUUGUGAGCAUUGGAAAGAAUCAGUACUGCAUGUCGCUUACGCACCACCGCCUCCAAGAGAGCAUUGUUCCGAUUCCAGGCCAUGAUAUGAUGCAAGAAGAAUAUGAGGAGCAUCCAUUCUCCACAGGGCAUGCCUGA
rnacentral:rRNA from 1 species